UACGUAGGGGGCAAGCGUUGUCCGGAAUCAUUGGGCGUAAAGCGCGUGUAGGCGGUUCGAUAAGUCUGCUGUGAAAGUCCAGGGCUCAACCCUGGGAUGCCGGUGGAUACUGUCGGACUAGAGUGCGGAAGAGGCGAGUGGAAUUCCCGGUGUAGCGGUGAAAUGCGCAGAUAUCAGGAAGAACACCCGUGGCGAAGGCGGCUCUCUGGGACGGUACUGACGCUGAGACGCGAAAGCGUGGGGAGCGAACAGG
rnacentral:rRNA from 1 species